UUACUGAGUUUACGCUCUACAACCCUUUGUGAACAUACCUAUAACUGUUGCUUCGGCGGGUAGGGUCUCCGUGACCCUCCCGGCCUCCCGCCCCCGGGCGGGUCGGCGCCCGCCGGAGGAUAACCAAACUCUGAUUUAACGACGUUUCUUCUGAGUGGUACAAGCAAAUAAUCAAAACUUUUAACAACGGAUCUCUUGGUUCUGGCAUCGAUGAAGAACGCAGCGAAAUGCGAUAAGUAAUGUGAAUUGCAGAAUUCAGUGAAUCAUCGAAUCUUUGAACGCACAUUGCGCCCGCCAGCAUUCUGGCGGGCAUGCCUGUUCGAGCGUCAUUUCAACCCUCAAGCUCUGCUUGGUGUUGGGGCCCUACGGCUGACGUAGGCCCUCAAAGGUAGUGGCGGACCCUCCCGGAGCCUCCUUUGCGUAGUAACUUUACGUCUCGCACUGGGAUCCGGAGGGACUCUUGCCGUAAAACCCCCAAUUUUCCAAAGGUUGACCUCGGAUCAGGUAGGAAUACCCGCUGAACUUAAGCAUAUCAAUAAGCGGAGGAAAAGAAACCAACAGGGAUUGCCUCAGUAACGGCGAGUGAAGCGGCAACAGC
rnacentral:rRNA from 1 species